CCGAGCCGAUUGUGGCGAAGUGGGUGAUCCCAUGCUGCCGAGAAAAGCCUCUAGCGAGUGUCAGAGCCGCCCGUACCCUAAACCGACACAGGUGGUCAGGUAGAGAAUACCGAGGCGUGCGAGUGAACUGUGGUUAAGGAACUCGGCAAAAUGCCCCCGUAACUUCGGGAGAAGGGGGGCCACUUCCUGUGUAGGAGUUUACCUCCGAAGCGGGGAGGGGCCGCAGAGACCAGGGGAAAGCGACUGUUUACUAAAAACACAGCUCCGUGCUAAGUCGUAAGACGAUGUAUACGGAGUGACGCCUGCCCGGUGCUGGAACGUUAAGGGGACGGGUUAGCUCUUCGGGGCGAAGCUCAGAACUUAAGCGCCAGUAAACGGCGGUGGUAACUAUAACCAUCCUAAGGUAGCGAAAUUCCUUGUCGGGUAAGUUCCGACCUGCACGAAUGGCGUAACGACUUUCCUACUGUCUCAACCACAGACUCGGCGAAAUUGCAUUACGAGUAAAGAUGCUCGUUACGCGCGGCAGGACGGAAAGACCCCGGGACCUUUACUACAGCUUGAUAUUGGUGUUCGGUUCGGUUUGUGUAGGAUAGGUGGGAGACUGUGAAGCUGGGACGCCAGUUCCGGUGGAGUCAUUGUUGAAAUACCACUCUGGUCGUACUGGAUGUCUAACCUCGGUCCGUGAUCCGGAUCAGGGACAGUGUCAGGUGGGUAGUUUAACUGGGGCGGUUGCCUCCUAAAGAGUAACGGAGGCGCCCAAAGGUUCCCUCAGCCUGGUUGGCAAUCAGGUGUUGAGUGCAAGUGCACAAGGGAGCUUGACUGUGAGACAGACAUGUCGAGCAGGUGCGAAAGCAGGGACUAGUGAUCCGGCGGUGGCUUGUGGAAGCGCCGUCGCUCAACGGAUAAAAGGUACCCCGGGGAUAACAGGCUGAUCUUGCCCAAGAGUCCAUAUCGACGGCAAGGUUUGGCACCUCGAUGUCGGCUCGUCGCAUCCUGGGGCUGGAGUAGGUCCCAAGGGUUGGGCUGUUCGCCCAUUAAAGCGGUACGCGAGCUGGGUUUAGAACGUCGUGAGACAGUUCGGUCCCUAUCCGCCGCGCGCGCAGGAGACUUGAGAAGGGCUGUCCCUAGUACGAGAGGACCGGGACGGACGAACCUCUGGUGUGCCAGUUGUUCUGCCAAGAGCAUGGCUGGUUGGCUACGUUCGGAAGGGAUAACCGCUGAAAGCAUCUAAGCGGGAAGCUCGCUUCGAGAUGAGGUCUCCCACAGGGUAGCCUGGUAAGGCCCCCGACUAGAUGAUCGGGUUGAUAGGCCGGAGGUGGAAGUGCGGCAACGCAUGGAGCUGACCGGUACUAAUAGGCCGAGGGCUUGACCA
rnacentral:rRNA from 1 species